rnacentral:lncRNA from 1 species
UUGAAGAACAUUUCCAUGGACUUGAAAGGUCCUUGAAAAGACGUUUUCAUGAGUUGGAAGACCAGGAAAAGGAGUACGAAACCAAAACCAGAAAAGCCCAAGAAGUAUUGGAGAAGCGGGAAGCUGCUGUUUUGGCCAAAGAACAAGCUUCAUUGGGGAGACUCCAAGAGAAAAGAGAUGCUGCUGUCUUUGCCAUUACUAAUGCUUUACAGAAGCACAGGAAGGUGUCGAUUGUGGAACCUGCUGUUGUGACUAGUGAUCUCCAAGGUGAGCUCUCAACAAUUGAAGACCAACCACCUGAAACCUUGGCUGCUGAAAGUAACUUGGGAGAGACUAAUAAUAAUGGAAAUGUG